rnacentral:rRNA from 1 species
AUUGAACGCUGGCGGCAUGCCUUACACAUGCAAGUCGAACGGUAACAGGUCUUCGGAUGCUGACGAGUGGCGAACGGGUGAGUAAUACAUCGGAACGUGCCCGAUCGUGGGGGAUAACGAAGCGAAAGCUUUGCUAAUACCGCAUAAGAUCUACGGAUGAAAGCAGGGGACCGCAAGGCCUUGCGCGAACGGAGCGGCCGAUGGCAGAUUAGGUAGCUGGUGGGAUAAAAGCUUACCAAGCCGGCGAUCUGUAGCUGGGCUGAGAGGACGACCGGCCACACUGGGACUGAGACACGGCCCAGACUCCUACGGGAGGCAGCAGUGGGGAAUUUUGGACAAUGGGCGAAAGCCUGAUCCAGCCAUGCCGCGUGCAGGAUGAAGGCCUUCGGGUUGUAAACUGCUUUUGUACGGAACGAAAAGACUCUUUCUAAUAAAGAGGGUCCAUGACGGUACCGUAAGAAUAAGCACUGGCUAACUACGUGCCAGCCGCCGCAGUAAUAC